rnacentral:rRNA from 2 species
AACUGUUCAGGUAUUGACGGUAUUUAACCAGAAAGCCACGGCUAACUACGUGCCAGCAGCCGCGGUAAUACGUAGGUGGCAAGCGUUGUCCGGAUUUAUUGGGCGUAAAGCGAGCGCAGGCGGUUUUUUAAGUCUGAUGUGAAAGCCUUCGGCUCAACCGAAAAAGUGCAUCGGAAACUGGGAAACUUGAGUGCAGAAGAGGACAGUGGAACUCCAUGUGUAGCGGUGAAAUGCGUAGAUAUAUGGAAGAACACCAGUGGCGAAGGCGGCUGUCUGGUCUGUAACUGACGCUGAGGCUCGAAAGUAUGGGUAGCAAACAGGAUUAGAUACCCUGGUAGUCCAUACCGUAAACGAUGAAUGCUAAGUGUUGGAGGGUUUCCGCCCUUCAGUGCUGCAGCUAACGCAUUAAGCAUUCCGCCUGGGGAGUACGGCCGCAAGGCUGAAACUCAAAGGAAUUGACGGGGGCCCGCACAAGCGGUGGAGCAUGUGGUUUAAUUCGAAGCUACGCGAAGAACCUUACCAGGUCUUGACAUACUAUGCAAAUCUAAGAGAUUAGACGUUCCCUUCGGGGACAUGGAUACAGGUGGUGCAUGGUUGUCGUCAGCUCGUGUCGUGAGAUGUUGGGUUAAGUCCCGCAACGAGCGCAACCCUUAUUAUCAGUUGCCAGCAUUAAGUUGGGCACUCUGGUGAGACUGCCGGUGACAAACCGGAGGAAGGUGGGGGAUGACAUCAAAUCAUCAUGCC